AUUGAACGCUGGCGGCAUGCCUUACACAUGCAAGUCGAACGGCAGCACGGGGGGUAACCCCUGGUGGCGAGUGGCGAACGGGUGAGUAAUAUAUCGGAACGUGUCCUGUAGCGGGGGAUAACCUAUCGAAAGAUGGACUAAUACCGCAUACGACCUUCGGGUGAAAGCGGAGGACCGCAAGGCUUCGCAUUUUAGGACCGGCCGAUAUCGGAUUAGCUCGUUGGCAGGUUAACGGCCCACCAAGGCGACGAUCCGUAGCUGGUCUGAGAGGACGAUCAGCCACACUGGAACUGAGACACGGUCCAGACUCCUACGGGAGGCAGCAGUGGGGAAUUUUGGACAAUGGGCGCAAGCCUGAUCCAGCCAUGCCGCGUGAGGGAAGAAGGCCUUCGGGUUGUAAAGCUCUUUCGGCGGGGACGAAACGGUUCGUGCUAAUACCACGGACUACUGACGGUACCCGAAGAAGAAGCACCGGCUAACUACGUG
rnacentral:rRNA from 1 species